GGGGCGAUUAGCUCAGUUGGUAGAGCACCUCGCUUACACCGAGGUUGUCGGCGGUUCGAGCCCGUCAUCGCCCACC
rnacentral:tRNA from 1 species